rfam:Ostreococcus lucimarinus CCE9901 chromosome 3, complete sequence.
UCAAGCGACCACACCCGCGGAAAAUCACAGAAACCCAUCGGAACUUCUCAGUUAAGACCGCGUGGGCCGGAUAAGUACCGAUGUCGGAAGACGUCAGGAACCCCCGGUAUCGCUUGGU